GUAAUCAUUCCUAUCCAGAAGUGAUCGAGCAGCCUAGGUCAUGCCACUUGUUUUAUAGGAACCGGAUUGGAUCUUCCACCCCUGUGACCCAUUGGGCUUUGCAGUUCAUUCCGACCAAAGUUAUGAUUGUACCCCUAUCUAGGGGUGAUAAGCGCUGAUUAUCUGCCACAAGAAAAGUGACUGCAGGAUCCGACUACACAACGUUUAUUUGGAGACGCAGCGGUCAGUAUAGGGGCUGAACACAUUGGCGCAACAGAAUGAAUUUAUUAUGCAGAAAUGGAUCUACGUAACUGUGUGUCGGACUC